rnacentral:rRNA from 1 species
UACGUAGGGUGCGAGCGUUAAUCGGAAUUACUGGGCGUAAAGCGUGCGUAGGUGGUUCACUAAGUCAGGUGUGAAAUCCCCGGGCUCAACCUGGGAACUGCGCUUGAUACUGGUAAACUAGAGUUUAGUAGAGGGAAGUGGAAUUCCACGUGUAGCGGUGAAAUGCGCAGAUAUCAGGAGGAACACCAAUGGCGAAGGCAGGUCUCUGGGCCAUUACUGACACUGAGGAGCGAAAGCGUGGGGAGCGAACAGG